GAUGAACGCUGGCGGCGUGCCUAAUACAUGCAAGUCGAGCGAACAGAUGAGGAGCUUGCUCCUCUGACGUUAGCGGCGGACGGGUGAGUAACACGUGGAUAACCUACCUAUAAGACUGGGAUAACUUCGGGAAACCGGAGCUAAUACCGGAUAAUAUAUUGAACCGCAUGGUUCAAUAGUGAAAGACGGUUUUGCUGUCCCUUAUAGAUGGAUCCGCGCCGCAUUAGCUAGUUGGUAAGGUAACGGCUUACCAAGGCGACGAUGCGUAGCCGACCUGAGAGGGUGAUCGGCCACACUGGAACUGAGACACGGUCCAGACUCCUACGGGAGGCAGCAGUAGGGAAUCUUCCGCAAUGGGCGAAAGCCUGACGGAGCAACGCCGCGUGAGUGAUGAAGGUCUUCGGAUCGUAAAACUCUGUUAUUAGGGAAGAACAAAUGUGUAAGUAACUAUGCACGUCUUGACGGUACCUAAUCAGAAAGCCACGGCUAACUACGUG
rnacentral:rRNA from 1 species